rnacentral:rRNA from 1 species
UACGAAGGGGGCUAGCGUUGUUCGGAAUUACUGGGCGUAAAGCGCACGCAGGCGGACAUUUAAGUCAGGGGUGAAAUCCCGGGGCUCAACCCCGGAACUGCCUUUGAUACUGGAUGUCUCGAGUCCGGAAGAGGUGAGUGGAAUUCCGAGUGUAGAGGUGAAAUUCGUAGAUAUUCGGAGGAACACCAGUGGCGAAGGCGGCUCACUGGUCCGGUACUGACGCUGAGGUGCGAAAGCGUGGGGAGCAAACAGGAUUAGAUACCCGCGUAGUCC